UGGGGAAUUUUGCACAAUGGAGGAAACUCUGAUGCAGCGACUCCGCGUGAGUGAUGAAGAUCUUCGGAUUGUAAAACUCUGUCCUUAGUGAAGAUAAUGACAGUAACUAAGAAGCAAGCCCUGGCUAAAUACGUGCCAGCAGCCGCGGUAAUACGUAUGGGGCAAGCGUUGUCCGGGAUUAUUGGGCGUAAAGGGUACGUAGGCGGUUUAAUAAGUCCUAAUUAAAAGGCUAUGGCUCAACCAUAGUAUGGUUAGGAAACUGUUGAACUUGAGUAGAUGAGGGGAAGGGGGAAUUCCAUGUGUAGCGGUGAAAUGCGUAGAUAUAUGGAAGAACACCACUGGCGAAGGCAACUUUCUGGAAUCAAACUGACACUGAGGUACGAAAGAGAGGGGAGCAAACAGG
rnacentral:rRNA from 1 species